CGCAGUUAAUGUAAUAGGGUGUUCAUGUAAGAUGUUAAUGAUGUUGGGUAUUAUGGUCUUGCAGCUAAGCUUCUAUGGAGGGGUGCUGAGUGUUGGAAUGAGUGUUUAAAGCUUUUGGGCGUUGCUGAAGCAGCAGAAGCAUCAAUGGAUUCUGACCAGUUAAGCUCUGGAAUUUCAGAUUUUGAUACUCACUUUCAAGGCCUCAUAGUUCAGAAAAGUGAUGAUGACGACUCUGAGAAUGAGUCAGCACUUGAAAUUCAGCCAUACUUGAUGGAAGAAACAGGAUUGGUGGAAGGAGGUUUGAUGGAGCUAACCAGUGAACAUCAGCUUGGGGUCAAGGAGGAGAUUAGGAACAAAAUUUUUACAAUAGAGUCAGAUCUGAUGAGUGAAAAUGAAAAGGUUUCUUCUGCAUUUCUUUGAGUUAAUAAGUAUGGAGAAGCAAGGCGUGAAAAUGAGAGAAAGCUUGAUACCCAAUAUCAACGAAAAAGUGCCGAAGCACUUGAUAAUCACUUGACUGCUAUCCAAAGGGACCAUGAACUCAGGUCCCAGAUAGAAGAAAGGAAAAUAAGAAGUGAUGCGGCUUAUGAAGGGGCCAAAAGAAAAGAGAAAGCUCUCCUGGAAGAAAAACUCCGCCAAGAAAAAGCCAAAGCAGAAGCUGAGGCAAAACUCAGAGCUGAAGAAGCAAAUAGGGCUGCAAUGGAAGCUCAGAGAAGAGAAGAAAAAGAGGCUGCUAAAAGGGAGGCCAAUGAAGCAUCAAGC